rnacentral:rRNA from 1 species
UACGGAGGGUGCAAGCGUUGCUCGGAAUUAUUGGGCGUAAAGGGUAGGUAGGUGGUCUCAUUUGUCUGGGGUGAAAUCCUUGAGCUUAACUCAAGAAGUGCCCUAGAAACGGUGAGACUAGAGUCCUGGAGAGGGUCGUGGAAUUCCCGGUGUAGCGGUGAAAUGCGUAGAGAUCGGGAGGAACACCAGAGGCGAAGGCGGCGUGCUGGGUUGCAACUGACGCUGAGAUGCGAAAGUGUGGGGAGCAAACGGG